GACGAACGCUGGCGGCGUGCCUAAUACAUGCAAGUCGAGCGGACCUUUGAAGAGCUUGCUCUUUGAGGUUAGCGGCGGACGGGUGAGUAACACGUGGGCAACCUGCCUGUAAGCUUGGGAUAACUCCGGGAAACCGGUGCUAAUACCGAAUAGAACAAAGGACCGCAUGGUCCCUUGUGAAAAGACCUUGUGUCACUUACAGAUGGGCCCGCGGCGCAUUAGCUUGUUGGUGGGGUAACGGCCUACCAAGGCGACGAUGCGUAGCCGACCUGAGAGGGUGAUCGGCCACACUGGGACUGAGACACGGCCCAGACUCCUACGGGAGGCAGCAGUAGGGAAUCUUCCGCAAUGGACGAAAGUCUGACUGAGCAACGCCGCGUGAGCGAUGAAGGUUUUCGGAUCGUAAAGCUCUGUUGUCAGGGAAGAACACGUACGAGAGGAAAUGCUCGUACCUUGACGGUACCUUACGAGAAAGCCACGGCUAACUACGUGCCAGCCGCCGCGGUAACAC
rnacentral:rRNA from 1 species